UACCAGCACCCCGAGUGGUCGGGACGUUUAUUGGGCCUAAAGCAUCCGUAGCCGGUUCUACAAGUCUUCCGUUAAAUCCACCUGCUCAACAGAUGGGCUGCGGAAGAUACUAUGGAGCUAGGAGGCGGGAGAGGCAAGCGGUACUCGAUGGGUAGGGGUAAAAUCCGUUGAUCCAUUGAAGACCACCAGUGGCGAAGGCGGCUUGCCAGAACGCGCCCGACGGUGAGGGAUGAAAGCUGGGGGAGCAAACCGG
rnacentral:rRNA from 1 species